UCACAUGAAAGCCAUGAUAAUACAAUAUCAGUUGUAUAUUUUUGUCGACCUACAACCAGAUGGAUUUUGAUCAUGACAGUAGAUGUCAUCAUUGAAGCUCCUUUCCAAAAAAAUAUUUCCCUAUCCUGUAAUUACCAGAUACAUUUCCUGAGUGAAAGGAAGUAUUAGAUGCCACUAUUCAUAUUCUGAAUCAGAUUUUCCAAUAUUUUUUCCUUUGGAUCGUUUUGUAAUAUAUAAUUAGUAUUCUGAGCAGUGUCAUACUAGAGAACAGAUUUGAGGUUGCUUUCUAUUGUUGAAUGUGAGAUAUCUUUCUGCAUUACAUCUCCACUUAGGAAUUUGGUUUCUUGAAUUUCCAAAUGUUGGUUCACAGGAUUGGAGAAGUUACAUCCUUGGUCUAUCAGAGUAGUUGCUGACAAUAUGGAAAUACUCAAUGCAAAAAUGUUAUUUGACCUUUUAAAUGAAUUGUCAAGGAGUUUUAUACUUGCCUUAUUUCAGAAUUUAGUUGGUCAUUUAGAUGAAAGGUGGGAGCUAGAAUCUUCAUGUUUAAUGAGUCCUCACUUUUGGUGUUGGAACCAAUUGAGAGGAGGCAAAUGUAAAUUGGGAUUUUACAGGUGCUGCUGGAAUAUGAAGAUCUCUGGUCUACAGGGUACCAUCAGCCCACUACCCCUAGGAAACCAAAUUUUCUAAAAUUGUCUUAGUAAAGUGAUUUUAGAAGAAUGCAAUUGCAGAAUAUUGAGGAAUUUGGUGGGAGAAGGGGCAGUAACAGUUGCCAAUACAACCAUGAUAGUGCAUCCAUUCCUGAACGAUGGAGGCGAAAAUGCUUCUUGCGGACAGUACAAAAGAAAGAAGAAGAAAGAUGAAGAAGAAGAAAAGGAAGGAUAUAACUAUGUGUUGCUCAUCAAAAAUAAAGAAGUUAAUUUCAAUCCAUCAUCGAAUUAAUGAUCUACCAGAUUCAUUGCCCGUUUGUCCGUCAGGGUUUGAUAAACUUUUUUCCUGUUCAACCUCUUUGUUUGCUCUUUGCUUCAUUUCUUUUAGGAGAUUAUUGCUUUUUCGGAGAACUGUCAGCCUUAGUUACUAAUUUUAAUUCAUUUCUUUGUCUUUUCCGGUAUUACCUUAUGGAAAUUGGUAUUGCCGACAGUGCAUUUGCCAGAUCUACGGCUACAGAGUGGACAAAAAAGAAGCAUUACCACCUCUUGGCACAUUGAAGUGCUCCCAAAUCUACAGCCAGUAUCAUGAAGCUUGCGUGGAAGAACGUGGUAGAAAAAUAGACUUCGCUUCUGGUAGCUGGUAUUCUUGUUACACGUGUCAAGAGGUCUAUCUAGGUCUUCAAGGACAAAGUGGCCUCAUGAACCUGCUUCAUGAUGGAGCCUGAGGCAAGAUGAGGCUGACCCAAAGAC